rnacentral:rRNA from 1 species
UACAGAGGGGGCAAGCGUUGUUCGGAAUUACUGGGCGUAAAGGGCGCGUAGGCGGCCUGUUAAGUCGAACGUGAAAUCCCCGGGCUCAACCCGGGAACUGCGUCCGAUACUGGCAGGCUUGAAUCCGGGAGAGGGAUGUGGAAUUCCAGGUGUAGCGGUGAAAUGCGUAGAUAUUUGGAGGAACACCGGUGGCGAAGGCGGCAUCCUGGACCGGUAUUGACGCUGAGGCGCGAAAGCCAGGGGAGCAAACGGG